CCAAACUUGGUCAUUUAGAGGAAGUAAAAGUCGUAACAAGGUUUCCGUAGGUGAACCUGCGGAAGGAUCAUUACCGAGUUAGGGUCUUCCAGGCCCGACCUCCAACCCUUUGUCUACCUGACCUCUUGUUGCUUCGGCGGGCCCGUCCCCCCUGUAAAAAGGGGCGACCGCCGGAGGGUUCACGCCCUCUGGCCCGCGCCCGUCGAUGGCCUACCCCACAAACUCUUGUUAAACCGUGUUGCCUGAGUAAAAGAAUCAAAUAAAACCAAAAACUUUCAACAACGGAUCUCUUGGUUCUGGCAUCGAUGAAGAACGCAGC
rnacentral:misc_RNA from 1 species